AUUUUCUAGGACAGUUUUCAGAGGGACACCCCAGGACAUUGUCUCUGUAACAGCUUUGCUUCUCAUUAAUUUAGUGCUUUAGAAGUGAGGAAACGAUACAAUUUCUUUCCUCAUUUCAGACUAAACCUCAUGUAAAUAAGCAAGCUCACAAGCAAGUAUUCCUUCUCAGGGAUGUGUUUGGUACAGCGGCGUUCCUUGCAUUUAUUAUGAGUAAACAAUCAGAUCUUGGUAGAGAAGACGACAGAGCUGGCCCAUACAUGCAUACUCAAAAAAGGACUUGGUCUAAGGAGUGAAGUGCAAUACGUGAAAAAAAAACAGAACGCUCUACCCAGACCCUUUUCUGUGCAGGCUGAGAAACUGAGCUACAGAAGGAUUCAAAGGCAUAGUUUCUCAUGGAUCAUCCUUCACUGCUGGAUGCCGGCUUUGCAUCUGGACAUGAUUCUACC
rnacentral:lncRNA from 1 species